rnacentral:rRNA from 1 species
CCAGACUCCUACGGGAGGCAGCAGUAGGGAAUCUUUCACAAUGGGCGAAAGCCUGAUGGAGCAAUGCCGCGUGCAGGACGAAGGCCUUCGGGUUGUAAACUGCUUUUAUAAGCGAGAAAUAUGAUGGUAACUUAUGAAUAAGGAUCGGCUAACUACGUGCCAGCAGCCGCGGUCAUACGUAGGAUCCGAGCAUUAUCCGGAGUGACUGGGUGUAAAGAGUUGCGUAGGUGGCAAGGUAAGUAGAUAGUGAAAUCUGGUGGCUCAACCAUUCAGACUAUUAUCUAAACUAUCUAGCUCGAGACUGUUAUGGGUAACUGGAAUUUCUAGUGUAGGAGUGAAAUCCGUAGAUAUUAGAAGGAACACCGAUAGCGUAGGCAGGUUACUGGGACAGUUCUGACACUAAGGCACGAAAGCGUAGGGAGCAAACGGGAUUAGAUACCCCGGUAGUCUACGCCGUAAACGAUGGAUACUAGGUGUGGGAGGUAUCGACCCCUACCGUGCCGGAGUUAACGCAAUAAGUAUCCCGCCUGGGAAGUACGGCCGCAAGGCUGAAACUCAAAGGAAUUGACGGGGGCCCGCACAAG